AGAAAAAUAGCUUUUCAUGACGCCUCAGUGACGCCAUAAUAUGACGCCUUAUAAAUACAGUCACAAAAACAAAUCUAUUGAGACGCCAAAAGUUAAAACCGCAUAACAAGUUGAAUUUUAUUAUUUAUUUAUUUUAUUAAUUUCCAAAAAAAUAACAAUUAAGACGGUUUUAUAUAAACUGCCACAAUAGAUUAGUUAUAUCGUGACCCAAAUUGAACCCAUUAAAUUUAUUUUUAAAUACAUUUUCCCCUUUGCUCUUGGCAGUAGAAAACUUUAACCCCUUUUUUUCUCCCAAUCCCGUCUUCUCCUCUCAAAACCUAGACUCACCAUUUGAAUUCUAUUUUUCUCAUGUGCUGCGGAAUUGAUUCUUGACGAAGUAUCUUCGUUCGAAUCUCAAAUACGGUACGCCUAGUUUUUCAGUAUUAGGAUUUUUUUUUCCUUAUAAAAAAAUUGGAUAUGAAUUUUUGCUGAAUCGUCAAAUUGUUCGUCAAACUGUUGCUUGUUCUCUUUCACCCAUAGUUAUGCACAAGCAAAUCGAAGGUAUGGAGGAAAAUCUGGGAAGAAAUUUUUGAUUUCGAUUCGGUGGAAAGAAGAAAGCUUAAACCUGGUAAACCCUCUUUGUCUCUGUCUCUCUUCUCUCUCUGCCCUUCUUUACGUUUUUCUAAGAUAUAGAAAAGAUUAGAAUAAUCGGAUUGAAAACCAAGAUUUUAUUGGGGUGCAAUUGCAAUUGCAAUCAAAUGAUCUUAUAUUAGCUUUUUGGUUAGCAGAUUAUUCUGAGGGUUUGAUGUUGAACAACUAAAGGUUGAUUUUCUGGAGUUCUAUAUGAAAUUUCGAGGGUUUGAUCAGUAUUUCUAUGAAAAGCCUUUUUUUCAUUGUUAUAUGAAAUUUUGCCAGAGUCAAAAGAUCGUCAAUGAGUACUUUGUAUGCAUACUUAUAGCUAAUGAUGGAUAAUGUACUUAUAUUUUAGUAGAGUAACUUAUAUUUAUCUGUAUGUUUUCGUAUAUCAAAUCUUGCAUCUAGAUUUUUAAGUGUUAAAGUUUAAUACUACUCUAGUGAAGAAUUUAUAAUUGAUUAUUUAUAGAUGAGAUGUGCUUGAUGUAUUUUUAUCAACUAAAGCAAAUGUGGAUUUCGACUACAUGAAAUGUGUUCCCAUGCUUAGCUUUAUUAAUUUUCCUUUCAAAAUAAUGUGUUAUCAAGUCUCUGAUGAUCCUAUUGUAUAUGAUAGGUACCUUAUUGCAAAAGAAACAUGAAUAUUUUGAUAUCAAUUUGGAAAAGCUGCAAAGCUUGAGCCUGCUUGCGAAAUCGUUGAAGCAUUGUAUGGAUUCGUGACUGAAUCCGUCAAAGAUAGUGCUUAUUGCUGCAAGAAUCUAUUAAGUCAAUCACUACAGGUACUUUUUGUAGAUUUUAUAUGUCUAGGCAUGAAUUUAUGUUGUUAUACUUUAUGGCCAUUUUUAUGUGUUUUUAAUCGUAAAUCUUUUUAUGAGAUCCUGUUAUGCAGCCUUACUCCGUAUAUCUUAUAAGUUGUUCAAUUUAUGUGCAUUUAAUUGAAGUUUCUAUUAAGUUUUUCGAUUAUAAAAGGACAAUAGUCAUAUUUUAUUUUAACUUUGCAGUAACUGAACUGGAGUGUCUUGUAAGACAGUACGGUUGUACUCUAGAACAUGUCAGAGAUUUUCUUUCAAUCAUUGAGUCGCUUCAUAAAUUUAUUCUAGUUACAUUACUCUUCACUAAUCUCGUAUAUUAUCUAACGACCAGGUCAUCAAAAAGGCUCAUAUAAAAGGUUGCCACGUUUUUAUGAAGUGAGUGCUGGAGGGACAUUGCAGUACAACUAACAUGACAACUCGUUGAAAAGCCAGCCCGUUGAAUUAGAUGCAACAAUUCAAUUGACCUACUAUUAAAAAGAAGGUUUUUUUGUUUUUUAUAUUUUAGAUUAGACGUGAAAUACUUGUAAUCCAAAUAUUUAUGUUAUUUUGAACCAUUGAAAUGAAUAGCUUAAAUGAUGAACACAUUUUGGUGUAUAUGUAUGAAUAUUUUUUA